UACGUAGGGGGCAAGCGUUGUCCGGAAUCAUUGGGCGUAAAGCGCGCGUAGGCGGCCCGGUAAGUCCGCUCUGAAAGUCCAGGGCUCAACCCUGGAAAGCGGGUGGAUACUGCCGGGCUAGAAUCCGGAAGAGGCGAGUGGAAUUCCUGGUGUAGCGGUGGAAUGCGCAGAUAUCAGGAAGAACAUCGGUGGCGAAGGCGCUCUGCUGGACCAUAACUGACACUCAGGGACGAAAGCUAGGGGAGCGAAUGGG
rnacentral:rRNA from 1 species